CUCAGGGAUUCAAGAAAGUUGUGCAAUUUGACAUCAGAAAUCAGGGUGAAGACACAUGAGGAAGGUUAUUUGGAUGAAAUGCUUAUUUCUUUUUUAACAUAAGCAUUGACUGGAAAUAUUGGUUAUUCUGUCUGAUAUUACAUGAAGGUCAGAUGCCCUCCAUGCAACCAUGAGGUCGGAUGGCAGUUUGAUGCUGAACCAGCAAACAAGCCUACUCAGCAUGAAACUAUGAGUAUAAAAACCUUUAUGAUGACCUACCUCCACUUGGAUCAAUGAAGAGGCUCUAUCUGGAAGGCUUAUCCCUGUUCCAUGUUGCAUCACGUGGAGAAGUUCCCUAAGUGUUGGAGGAUUCACUUCAGGAUGACUCACUCACAUCUGGAGCAAGAAGACAACUUAAUUAAGAGACAGCAUUUAAUGACAAGGAAAGAAAAUGUUCCUUAUCUUGUAAAUUCCUUCGCUAAUGGAAUCUUCCAGCCCACCCUGGGAAGAAGAGUUGUGGACAUAGACACAUACAGAGAGAAGACCAUGUGAAGUCACAGGGAGAAGACAGCCACCUACAUACCAAGGAGAGAGGCUGUACAAGAAACCAACCCUGAUGACACCUUGAUCUUGGACUUCCAGCUUCCAGAUUUACAGGAAAAUAAAUUUCCGUUGUUUAAGCCACACAGUCUAUGGCAUUUUGUUAUGGCAGUUCUAGCAAACUAAUAUACAGCCUAUAUCAUAUACUACUCAGUUUGACUACUUUUAUUUUGGAACAUAUUAUACUUUUGCUACUUUUGCUUAUGCAGUUUCUUUUGCUUAGUGUCCCUUGCUAGUAGAUAUUUAUAUUUAAAGAUAUUUUAGGCCUGGCACAGUGGCUCACACCUGUAAUUCCAACACUUUGGCAGGCUGAGGUGAGUAAAUCACUUGAGGCCAGGAGUUUGAGAUCAGCCUGGCUAACAUGGCGAAACCCCUUCUCUACUAAAAAAUACAAAAGUUAGCUGG
rnacentral:lncRNA from 10 species